GUUAAAACCUAUUCAUCUAAAGAACUUUAUGACCAUUUCAUUUGUAUCUGUCUUUCUUGACAACUGGAUGCUCUAUCUGUAAGAUUUCCUUGAAAAAUCAGAUCUUUUUAAAUCCUAGUACUUGAGAGGCUAAGGCAGGGAGAUUAUAAAUUGAAGGCCAACAUGGGGCUAUAAUAGAGCCAGUUGGAGGCCAUCCUUGGCUACACAGAUUGUUUGAGUGGGGUUAAAAAACGCUAUCUACCCUAAAAGAUAUCUUAAAUGAAAGUGGGGAGAAAAAAACAUUCUCUGGGGGAGGAAUCUUCCUGGGAGUGGUUGGUGCAGAGUGCUUAUCCAGGAAAAAAGCAGCAUAUAUGGGAGCUGAUCCCACUCUGCCUUAGGAAAAUGUGGGUUACUGUACAAACUGGCUUUAGUUGUCCCAGCAGUGGAACGAAUGACCUCACACUUUAGAACACCAAAAUCAAAACCUGCCAACUGUCUCCAAACCUAACUGUCACUAAACCUGCCAACUGUCUCCAAACCUAACUGUCACUAAACCUGCCAACUGUCAACAAACCUGCUAUCUCCAAUCCUGCUGUCUCCAAACCUGCUGUCAUGAAACACUUGUUCUUUGUACAACCUUGUGGCAACAGAAUGUCACUUUAUAUUAGUGACGGUAAAGAGGAAAUGAAAGAAGUGAAGGAAUGAGGCACACAGUGGAUAAAAUGGUUCCAAGAAGUUGAAGAAGCUCUGAGGAGUGAGUUAGGAGCUGAGCUGAGGAACAGCAAGAAGGGUAUGCAUUAGAAUUGAGUGUGGUGAGUUGAUAGGAAACACAACUGGAGAAUCGGAGAGGGGUAAGAUAAACUAUGAGAGGUCAAGGGUAGGAAGAUGGGCUUUUUUUUUUUUUUUUAAAAGAACACAUCAUGACUUGAGAAACUACCUCAAUAAGCCCUGCUAAAGAAAUGGAUUACUGAAGUCCAUUCUGGGUCAUUCAAUUUGUUACAAAGAGCUGAAGGUUAUAGUAUGAUUUAAGGAGAGUGAUUCCUUUACAUGUUGCACUUGUUUUAUUUAAAAUGACGUUUAUUGCUGAAGUUAUAGCUCAGUUAAGAAAGCCUAGUGUGUGUGAGACCCUGGGUAAAAUCCCUUGUCUCCCUCUACUCUGUCAAUAAUUUCCCAUCACUAAAAUCAGCAAUCUUACUAAGGAGAAGAAAAGAAAUUACAUCUAAAGUCUUCCCUUCUAAUGAUAUCAUUCAUAUAUAUAUGUAUAUGUAUAUAUAUAUAUAUAUAUGUAUAUAUAUAUAUGGCCAUAAAUUCAUAGAGACCUACCCACCUCUGCCUCCUGAGUGCUGGGAUUAAUGGUGUGUACCCUAAUGCUUGGAGGUAUCAUAUAAUUUUAAUGCUAUCUCUUAAUAGGUUUAGUAAGUGAAUAUUCAGAAUUAUGAUACCUUUAAAAGCUAUCUCUAGACCUCCUCAUAAAACAGAUUUACAGAAGAUUAGACUGUCAUUACUUUGCAUGACACAACUAAGCACAGUUGGGGCAAAUGAUUAUGGAUCUUCUAACUUCUAGAAUCUAUAUAAGGAGACAGCGUGUCUCCUGAGCAGUCUGCAGCCACCUGUCACUGAAUCAACUGAACGAAAUCAGGACAAGAGCCCUCCAAUGGAUCCAGGAUAUCACAAAAAUUAAUAUCCUUAUUAGAAAUGUGGAAAAUCUUCUAUUUCAUGUAGAAACAAAAUGACUUUUGAAAGAAACAUUCUAAUCCUUUCUUAUAAAGGCAGUCUUUGAGCAUUAGGUAGGAUAUGGAGCAGCUUACAGUCUGAGAAACAAA